UACGUAGGCAGCGAGCGUUGUUCGGAGUUACUGGGCGUAAAGGGUGUGUAGGCGGUUGUUUAAGUUUGGUGUGAAAUCUCCCGGCUCAACUGGGAGGGUGCGCCGAAUACUGAAUGACUUGGAGUGCGGGAGAGGAGAGUGGAAUUCCUGGUGUAGCGGUGAAAUGCGUAGAUAUCAGGAGGAACACCGGUGGUGUAGACGGCUUUCUGGACCGUAACUGACGCUGAAACACGAAAGCGUGGGUAGCAAACAGG
rnacentral:rRNA from 1 species